GGCGAACGGGUGAGUAACGCGUGGGUGAUCUGCCUCCGAGUGGGGAAUAACAGCGGGAAACUGCUGCUAAUACCGCAUGACAUCCUGUCGCCAAAGCCGCGCUUGGAGAUGAGCCCGCGUCCGAUUAGCUCGUUGGCGGGGUAACGGCCCACCAAAGCGACGAUCGGUAGCCGGCCUGAGAGGGCGGACGGCCACACUGGGACUGAGACACGGCCCAGACUCCUACGGGAGGCAGCAGUGGGGAAUUUUUCGCAAUGGGGGAAACCCUGACGAAGCAACGCCGCGUGGAGGAUGAAGGCCUUCGGGUCGUAAACUCCUGUCGACCGGGAAGAAUGACUGUACCGGUGGAGGAAGCCACGGCUAACUCUGUGCCAGCAGCCGCGGUAAUACAGAGGUGGCAAGCGUUGUUCGGAAUUACUGGGCGUAAAGGGCGCGUAGGCGGACCGCCAAGUCCCGUGUGAAAGCCCCCGGCUCAAACGGGGAACGGCGCGGGAAAC
rnacentral:rRNA from 1 species